CCUACGGGGGGCAACAGUGAGGAAUAUUGGUCAAUGGACGAGAGUCUGAACCAGCCAAGUAGCGUGAAGGAUGACUGCCCUAUGGGUUGUAAACUUCUUUUAUAUGGGAAUAAAACGUUCCACGUGUGGGAUUUUGUAUGUACCAUAUGAAUAAGGAUCGGCUAACUCCGUGCCAGCAGCCGCGGUAAUACGGAGGAUCCGAGCGUUAUCCGGAUUUAUUGGGUUUAAAGGGAGCGUAGGUGGAUUGUUAAGUCAGUUGUGAAAGUUUGCGGCUCAACCGUAAAAUUGCAGUUGAAACUGGCAGUCUUGAGUACAGUAGAGGUGGGCGGAAUUCGUGGUGUAGCGGUGAAAUGCUUAGAUAUCACGAAGAACUCCGAUUGCGAAGGCAGUUCACUGGACUGCAACUGACACUGAGGCUCGAAAGUGUGGGUAUCAAACAGGAUUAGAUACCCUAGUAGUC
rnacentral:rRNA from 1 species